AUCCAGAUGAGGAGUCCUAAAUAGGACGAAAUGCGCAUCCUGGAU
rnacentral:hammerhead_ribozyme from 1 species